GUCUACAGCCACGCUACCCUGAACAAGCCCGAUCCCGUCUGAUCUUGGAAGCUAAGCAGGGUCGGGCCUGGUUAAUACUUGGAUGGAAGACCACCUAGGAAGACCAGGUGCUGUAGAUG
rnacentral:rRNA from 1 species